rnacentral:rRNA from 1 species
UACGUAGGGGGCAAGCGUUGUCCGGAUUUAUUGGGCGUAAAGCGCUCGCAGGUGGUUCGUCGCGUCGUGCGUGAAAGACCCCGGCUCAACUGGGGAGGGUCGUGCGAUACGGGCGGACUGGAGGCCAGUAGGGGGAUGCGGAAUUCCGGGUGUAGUGGUGGAAUGCGUAGAGAUCCGGAGGAACACCAGCGGCGAAGGCGGCAUCCUGGACUGGUCCUGACACUCAGGAGCGAAAGCGUGGGGAGCGAUC